GCCUGGGUGGCUCAGUUGGUUAAGUGUCUGACUUCGGCUCAGGUCAUGAUCUUGCAGUCGUGAGUUCGAGCCCCACGUCAGGCU
rnacentral:tRNA from 1 species